GAGUUUGAUCCUGGCUCAGAACGAACGCUGGCGGCAGGCUUAACACAUGCAAGUCGAGCGCGCCCUUCGGGGUGAGCGGCGGACGGGUGAGUAACGCGUGGGAACAUACCCUUCACUGCGGAAUAGCCUCUGGAAACGGAGAGUAAUACCGCAUACGCCCUUUUGGGGAAAGAUUUAUCGGUGAGGGAUUGGCCCGCGUUGGAUUAGGUAGUUGGUGGGGUAAUGGCCUACCAAGCCGACGAUCCAUAGCUGGUUUGAGAGGAUGAUCAGCCACACUGGGACUGAGACACGGCCCAGACUCCUACGGGAGGCAGCAGUGGGGAAUCUUAGACAAUGGGGGCAACCCUGAUCUAGCCAUGCCGCGUGUGUGAUGAAGGCCUUAGGGUCGUAAAGCACUUUCGCCUGUGAAGAUAAUGACGGUAGCAGGUAAAGAAACCCCGGCUAACUCCGUGCCAGCAGCCGCGGUAAUACGGAGGGGGUUAGCGUUGUUCGGAAUUACUGGGCGUAAGGCGCGCGUAGGCGGACUAUUAAGUCAGGGGUGAAAUCCCGGGGCUCAACCCCGGAACCGCCUUUGAUACUGGUAGUCUUGAGUUCGAGAGAGGUGAGUGGAAUUCCGAGUGUAGAGGUGAAAUUCGUAGAUAUUCGGAGGAACACCAGUGGCGAAGGCGGCUCACUGGCUCGAUACUGACGCUGANGUGCGAAAGCGUGGGGAGCAAACANGAUUAGAUACCCUGGUAGUC
rnacentral:rRNA from 1 species